rnacentral:rRNA from 1 species
CUCUUAAAUGUCCUAGGCUGCACGCGCACUACACUGACGCAUUCAACGAGUCUGAUUGCCUUUCGGCAACCUAUCUUGAAGAGGAAGGGAAAUCUUUUGAACUUGCGUCGUGAUGAGGAUCGAUGAUUGCAAUUAUUCUCCUUGAAUGAGGAAUGCCUAGUAGGCGCAAGUCAUCAGCUUGCACUGAUUACGUCCCUGCCAUUUGUACACACCGCCCGUCGUUGCUACCGAUUGGCUGUAGGAUAGAGCUUGGAGGAGGUUGCGACUCUUGGAUUCCCAAUUGUUGCGUUCCGAAUCCAAGCAAUAUUUUUCAGCUAGAGGAAGCAAAAGUCGUAACA